GGAUUCCCCUAGUAACUGCGAGUGAAGCGGGAAAAGCUCAAAUUUAAAAUCUGUCAGUCUUUGGCUGUCCGAGUUGUAAUCUAGAGAAGUGUUAUCCGCGCUGGACCGUGUACAAGUCUCCUGGAAUGGAGCCUCAUAGAGGGUGAGAAUCCCGUCUUUGACACGGACUGCCAGGGCUUUGUGAUGCGCUCUCAAAGAGUCGAGUUGUUUGGGAAUGCAGCUCAAAAUGGGUGGUAAAUUCCAUCUAAAGCUAAAUAUUGGCGAGAGACCGAUAGCGAACAAGUACCGUGAGGGAAAGAUGAAAAGAACUUUGGAAAGAGAGUUAAACAGUACGUGAAAUUGCUGAAAGGGAAACGCUUGAAGUCAGUCGCGUUGUCCAGGGAUCAACCUUGCUUUUGCUUGGUGUACUUUCUGGUUGACGGGUCAGCAUCAAUUUUGACUAUUGGAAAAAAGUUGAGGGAAUGUGGCAUCUUCGGAUGUGUUAUAGCCCUUGGUUGCAUACAAUAGUUGGGAUUGAGGAACUCAGCACGCUGCAAAGCCGGGGUAUUUGCCCACGUACGUGCUUAGGAUGCUGGCAUAAUGGCUUUAAUCGACCCGUCUUGAAACACGGACCAAGGAGUCUAACAUGCCUGCGAGUAUUUGGGUGGAAAACCCGAGUGCGUAAUGAAAGUGAAAGUUGAGAUCCCUGUCGUGGGGAGCAUCGACGCCCGGACCAGACCUUUUGUGACGGUUCCGCGGUAGAGCAUGUAUGUUGGGACCCGAAAGAUGGUGAACUAUGCCUGAAUAGGGUGAAGCCAGAGGAAACUCUGGUGGAGGCUCGUAGCGAUUCUGACGUGCAAAUCGAUCGUCAAAUUUGGGUAUAGGGGCGAAAGACUAAUCGA
rnacentral:rRNA from 1 species